AAUUUUCCGCAAUGGGCCCAAGCCUGCCGGAGCAAUGCCGAGGGAGGGAGGAAUGCCUGUGGGUUGUAAACCUAUUUUAUUAGGAAAGAUUUAUGCCGGUACUUAAGAAAUAAGCUUCGGCUAACUCCGGGCCAGCAGCCGGGGUAAUGCGGGGGAUGCAAGGGUUGUCCGGAAUCACUGGGGAAAAAGGGUCUGUAGGUGGGUUAGUAAGUCUGUUGAUAAAUAUUAGAGCUUAACUGGAAAUCAGCAGGAAAAACUAUUAAACUAGAGUAGGGUAUGGGCAAAGGGAGUUCCCAGAGUAGCGGUGAAAUGGGUAGAUAUUGGGAAGAAUACCGGUAGCGAAAGCGCUUUGGUUGGCUUUAAGUGACACUCAGAGACGAAAGCUAAGGUAGCGAAUAGAAUUAGAUACCCCAGUAGUCUUAGCUGUA
rnacentral:rRNA from 1 species